GCAUUCAAAGCCGAGAGGUA
rnacentral:misc_RNA from 1 species